AUGAAGGAGGUAUCAAUGGAGUGCGUCGAUUUGGAGCUCGGGCUCAGCUGCACCCAUAAUCUGCGUCGUCCGUUGCAGUCUUGGGAUUUGGAGAAAGCCAGCUGGCCUGUCCUGUGCGAGCGUUGUCUGGGCCUGGAUCAGAUAAGGAGUGCAAGAUGGAUUACGCUGUCUGAGCCGCUUGUCGGCCGCACCCCGUCCAGGCCCCUCGCCGCCGUCGAAGAAAAAAAGGAGGAGAGUUCGCCGAGGCUGCUGUCGCGGGUGGCGGCGCCGGUGCCGUCGACGGUGCUUGACCGUGAAGCUGGGUUCCCCGUGUGGGAGGAGUUUGCCGACAACCUUGACCACAUAGAUCCAGUCCCGCUGAUGUACCUUCUGGAUAAUGGGGCUGCUAAUCAGGAUAUUCGCCAGGGGGAUGUUGAUUCCGGGAUAACUGAGAUGGUGUGCGAUGGUGUGCUCACCGACGCUCAGGUAGGUGGCCAGCGUAGGCGUGAUGAAUCUCCGACGAGGUCUGCCCAGUCGACGGGAAGAGUAAAUCGGCAGGCCCCCGGCUGGACUAAAAGGCUUCGUCUCGGGAGUGUGCCACCGGACCGUGUGCCCUGUCCAUCAAGGAUGAGCGCCCUGGAGCUAUCAAGUAAAUACGCUGAGCAACCUGACAAGAAUGUGGUCCGACCUGAGCUAGGUCUUAGUUUUGAUUCACUGGGCGAGGCGUAUGAUUUCUACAACUUGUAUUCUUGGGAAAUCUGUUUUGGGAUAAGAUAUGGAAAAAGCAGGCUGAACGCCGAGAGAACCAAAAGCAUACAGGAGAUAGUUUGUGGUUGUUCGGGGAAACCAGACGCUGAAAACAGCAGAUCGUGCAUGUGCGAGUGCCCGGCUCUGAUCAGACUGUUACGUGCAUCAGACAACAGUUGGUACAUAACAGAGCACCGGGCGAGCCACAAUCAUUCGAUGUCGCUUACAAUGGGAGAGAAAUUGAGGGAGAACAACGUCAACCUUGGCAAUGUAUACAUCAUAAUUGGGAGCUUCUUUGGUUCGGUUGAGAAGGUGCCUUUCACUAAAAGGACACUGAGGAACAUUUGUGAGAAGAUUAGUCGUGAGCAGGUUGAAGAUGAUGUACGGAAGACACUACAGGUGAUGGAGAUUCUACAUCUUGAUGAAAUCCCUAAGUACCAUAUCCUGAAAAGGUGGACAAGAGAUGCGAGGGUUAUACUACCGGAUCACCUGUGCCUCGUAGCACCAGAAAAGCGUAGAGGAUCUGGCAGGCCGACAAGCAACAGGGAGAAGGCACUGUACGAAGGGCUGAGUAAAAGUACCAGGUUCUGCAGCAUUUGCCGCCGCGAGGGGCACAAGAGGACCACAUGUCCAGAGCGAGGGGAUGCUCCGAAGAAGCCACGGAAACGGCAGAUGCCAGAACUGCGGAAUAGAAGGACACCGGGGAACACAUGCAAGAGGCCUCUUGGGUUUGCCGAGAGCUGA
rnacentral:rRNA from 1 species